rnacentral:rRNA from 1 species
AACGAACGCUGGCGGCAGGCCUAACACAUGCAAGUCGAACGCACCGCAAGGUGAGUGGCGCACGGGUGAGUACCACGUGGGAAUGUACCCUUUGGUUCGGAAAAACGUUUGGAAAAGAACGCUAAUACCGGAUAAGCACCACGGGGGAAAGAUUUAUCGCCAAAGACGCAGCGCGCGUCUGACUAGCUAGUUGGUGGGGUAAAGGCCUACCAGAGCGACGCUCAGUAGCUGGUCUGAGAGGAUGUUCAGCCAAACUGGGACUAGGAAACGGCCCGUACUCCUACGGGAGGCAGCAGUGGGGAAUAUUGCACAAUGGGCGGAAGCCUGAUCCAGCCAUGCCGCGUGAGUGAUGAAGGUCUUCGGGUUGUAAAGCUCUUUCGCACACGACGAUGAUUGCGGUAGUGUGUGAAGAAGCCCCGGCUAACUUCGUGCCAGCAGCCGCCGUAAUAC